GGAAUUUUCCGCAAUGGGCGAAAGCCUGACGGAGCAACUCCGCGUGAGGGAUGAAGGCCUCUGGGCUGUAAACCUCUUUUCUCAAGGAAGAAGAUCUGACGGUACUUGAGGAAUAAGCCACGGCUAAUUCCGUGCCAGCAGCCGCGGUAAUACGGGAGUGGCAAGCGUUAUCCGGAAUUAUUGGGCGUAAAGCGUCCGCAGGCGGCCUUUUAAGUCUGCUGUCAAAACGUGGAGCUUAACUCCAUACCGGCAGUGGAAACUGGAAGGCUUGAGUGUGGUAGGGGCAGAGGGAAUUCCCGGUGUAGCGGUGAAAUGCGUAGAUAUCGGGAAGAACACCAGUGGCGAAGGCGCUCUGCUGGGCCAUAACUGACGCUCAUGGACGAAAGCCAGGGGAGCGAAAGGGAUUAGAUACCCCUGUAGUCCUGGCCGUAAACGAUGAACACUAGGUGUCGGGGGAAUCGACCCCCUCGGUGUCGUAGCCAACGCGUUAAGUGUUCCGCCUGGGGAGUACGCACGCAAGUGUGAAACUCAAAGGAAUUGACGG
rnacentral:rRNA from 1 species